UACGAAGGGUGCAAACGUUGCUCGGAAUCAUUGGGCGUAAAGCGCACGUAGGCGGCCUCGCAAGUCGGAUGUGAAAUCCCAUGGCUCAACCAUGGACGUGCAUUCGAAACUGCGAAGCUUGAGUAUGGAAGAGGGUCGCGGAAUUCCCGGUGUAGAGGUGAAAUUCGUAGAUAUCGGGAGGAACACCAGUGGCGAAGGCGGCGACCUGGGCCAAUACUGACGCUCAUGUGCGAAAGCGUGGGGAGCAAACAGG
rnacentral:rRNA from 1 species